AAAGUCGUAACAAGGUUUCCGUAGGUGAACCUGCGGAAGGAUCAUUACCGAGUUAGGGUCUAAAUAGGCCCGACCUCCAACCCUUUGUUUACUAUACCAUGUUGCUUUGGCGGGCCCGCCUUUCGGGGCUGCCGGGGGCUUUCAUGCCCCUGGUCAGUGCCCGCCAGUAGCCUUAUUAAAUUCUUCCAUAAUUAUGUUGUCUGAGUAUAAACAUAAAAUCGUUAAAACUUUCAACAACGGAUCUCUUGGUUCUG
rnacentral:misc_RNA from 1 species